GUGUUGGUAAUUCAAUGAUAGAAUUCUUGCCUUUCCUACCAGAGACCUAGGUUCAAUUCCUGGCCAGUGCC
rnacentral:tRNA from 1 species